GGAAAUGAAUAAUCUCCAAAUGAGAAUCUGGGACUUGCUGAACUUUAUCAAAAAUGAAAACACAGGCACAGCUGGAAUCAGCUGACGGCUCCAACAAACCUACACGAUAUUGAUGUGUUCGCUCACAGUUCUUUAUCUAAGAAUGCCAAACCUGAGAGACUGCCUUGGACUUCUGUGGUAGGCGACAAGUCCUCUCUAAGAACAAGAGUGUUAGGAAGAAGGGAUGUGAACAUCACUCCCAAAACUCCAGGGAAAGUCGGACCAACAUGACAGUGAAAAUUAUAAAGCAAAAUGUACCGGAAAUGGAAGAACUUCCAGGCCCGCUGGUGGACACCUGUAAUCCCAAUGUCUGAGCUGCAAAGGGAGCAAGAGCUCAAGGAUCUCAAAUUUGAAGGCAGACUAGAUCAAAAAGAGGCUGAAAUAGAGUUCUUC
rnacentral:lncRNA from 1 species